UUUCCUUAGCAAUUUUUACUAAUAGUAAUUAAUUGAAUCAAAUACAGUUUGCUGCUUGGAACUCUUCCAAUUUACUGCUCCUCUAGUAUUUUUCAAAUACUUCGAGAAUGCUUUUUAUAGUUUUCAAAAGAUCCUAUUAUGGAUCUGCCUGAAAUCGAUGAUUAUGUACAAGACAUAAAUCACAUCAAGCUUGGUACAUUAAAUAUAUGG
rnacentral:lncRNA from 1 species